rnacentral:rRNA from 1 species
AUGGCAACCACCCUCGCCACCGACGUCCGCCUCUCCAUCGCGCACCAGACCCGCUUCGCCCUCCGUCUCGCCUCCACCAUCUCAUCCAACCCUAAGUCUGCUGCCAGCAAUGCCGCCUUCUCCCCGGUCUCCCUCCACUCCGCACUUAGCCUCCUCGCCGCUGGUGCGGGCAGUGCCACUCGGGACCAACUCGUCGCCACACUCGGGACAGGCGAGGUCGAGGGACUCCACGCGCUCGCCGAGCAAGUGGUCCAGUUCGUGCUCGCCGACGCGUCCUCCGCUGGAGGUCCGCGUGUCGCCUUCGCCAACGGCGUCUUCGUGGACGCGUCGCUGCUCCUCAAGCCAUCCUUCCAAGAGCUUGCAGUGUGCAAGUACAAGGCCGAGACCCAAUCCGUGGACUUCCAAACUAAGGCCGCUGAAGUUACUACUCAAGUGAACUCAUGGGUAGAGAAAGUCACAAGCGGUCGCAUCAAGAACAUUCUCCCAUCAGGAUCUGUUGACAAUACCACUAAACUUGUUCUUGCCAAUGCCCUUUAUUUCAAAGGAGCUUGGACAGAUCAGUUUGAUUCAUAUGGAACAAAAAACGACUACUUCUACCUUCUUGAUGGGAGCUCAGUUCAAACACCAUUCAUGUCCAGCAUGGAUGACGACCAAUACAUUUCGUCUUCUGAUGGGUUGAAGGUACUUAAGCUUCCUUACAAGCAAGGUGGGGACAAUAGGCAGUUCUCCAUGUAUAUCCUUCUUCCAGAAGCACCGGGUGGUCUCUCGAGCUUGGCCGAAAAAUUGAGUGCUGAACCAGACUUCUUGGAGCGGCAUAUCCCAAGGCAGAGGGUUGCAAUUAGGCAAUUCAAGCUCCCCAAGUUCAAGAUAUCAUUUGGAAUUGAAGCAUCUGAUUUGCUCAAAUGCUUGGGCCUCCAGCUUCCAUUCAGUGAUGAAGCGGAUUUUUCGGAGAUGGUGGAUUCCCCAAUGCCACAAGGUCUUCGUGUCUCAUCUGUUUUCCACCAAGCGUUUGUGGAAGUGAACGAACAAGGAACUGAGGCUGCAGCAUCAACUGCUAUUAAAAUGGUCCCGCAACAGGCAAGGCCGCCCUCGGUCAUGGAUUUCAUCGCGGAUCACCCUUUCCUCUUCCUUCUCCGGGAAGACAUCUCUGGUGUGGUCCUAUUCAUGGGUCAUGUGGUCAAUCCCCUCUUAUCUUCGUAA